UCUCGAAGAUGUUUCACAAGUCACUCCGCCUUUUAUCUUCCAUAACAUCAGUUAUUUAGGAAGUAGUGGUACGAGAAAAAAACAUUCUGAAUUCUACGGUUUACAACUACUAUCAAUAUCAAAGGACCACUGCGACUUGAAAUAUGGGAGUGAAAGUUCAUGUCAUCUACUGUGGUGGAUGAGGGUACAGACCCAAUUUCAUCAAACUCAAGACCCAGCUUGAGGAUGAAUUUCAAGGGGACCUUGAGAUUACCAGUGAAAGCACACCCUCGGCAACUGGGUGGUUUGAGGUGGAAGUGAAUGGCAAGUUGGUCCACUCAAAGAAGGAAGGGUCAGGCUUUGUGGACAACGAUCAGAAGAUGGCAACAAUAGUUGCUGCCAUUGAAGAGGUAUUGGGGAAAUAAGCAAGUGCCGACUAUGGCGUCUGAUCUCUGUUUGUCGUCUCCUUGAGAUAGCAUAAUGAUGGUGGUGCCCCAAGUGUCGAAGACAAAGGUGCUGCUUGAUGAAACCCGCUCUUUCAGGGAGGCGUCCUACAGACCGCUUCAGCUCCUACGGUGACACUGCUUUUUGUAAUGUGGCAGAUGAUAAAAAGGGACAGUGUAAGGUUUAUUAGUAAAAUAUAUCACAACAUUUGAGGGGGAAAGGUGUGUUGACAAGCACUCAGCCCAUUUGAUGAAGCCACCUCAAAUGUUUUUUAGUUACGAUAGCACAUUUUUCAUUGCAGCCUAGAUGUGCAUGCUUCCAAACAAAAUCAAACAUGCACAGUCAAUUAGAUUAAGACUUUUUUUUCAUUGUUGUUGCAGCUUACUACAUUUACCGGCCCUGUGAUAUUAUUUUCUGAUGGCUGGAUUAUUUGGUUAUUGUUGAAAAAAAUGAACAAGGUUUAUUCAUUAACAUUACAUUUUUUGUGUUAUUUCAGUAAACAUUAUAGUGAAUGUUAUUACAAUAAAUAUUAAGGUCCUGUAAUGAGAUGGAAUCAAGCGGUUUCUGAGAUAAUGGGCAUGAAAAGUAAAUUAAGCUUGACACGACACAUGAUAGUAGUAAUUGACAACUGAACAAAGGACAAUAGGUAGGACAUGUGAUGCCCCAUUACUGAUGGGUCCCACACAUCCUGUCCAUACCUCCUGCUAGGAACUGUCCAUGUGACUGUCAUGGACUCCAUGAAUAGAGACCCUAAGAGAGGUUGGAAGAUGCCCUACAAGAGUGUUAUGUAGGAUGAACCUUUCUUUUUUGAGGAUAAUAGACUGUAUCACUGAUCGCCUCUUACACGUUCUGGCAUAAAAAACUGUUAACUUUGUAAUUAUUGGAGAACAUGUAAGACCUAAAGAAGAUCAACCUCAUGGACUCAUGCAAAUAAAGUUCUCCCCUGA